UAAUCGAUUAUAGCUUGUCCAUAAUCGAUUAUUCAAGUUAAAAAUACAAGGUUUAUGAUUUUCCUACUACAUCCAAAUUCUACAAGUUGCUUUUUAAAUAAUUCUANUGUUCUCUUCAAAUAAUACUUCUUAAAGCAUCAUCAAAAAAAUUCUUCAGGUUUUACUAAUGCUCCUUAUUGGUAACAAUCUCCCCCUUUUUGAUGAUGAUAAAAAAUUCACUUUUAAAAGCAACUCUGGCAUACCUGCAAUACGUACGAGCUAACAGAAAACAAGGUUAGCAAUACCUGUAUCAAUUAUUAAUUUGUAUUAUACUUCUCCCCUUAUAUUAUUCUUCUCCCCCUUAUAUUAUUCUUCUGCCCCUUUUUUAUCAUAAGCAAAAAGAUUAAAUUAAAAAGCUCCCCCUAAAUAUGAUCUCNNCCUCAAUUAAACAAUNUAUGCAUAAAACAAGAGAUCAUGUUAUUCAUAAAAGAAAGGAUUACAUAGACACCAUAAGGAGAAACAUAAAAGACAGAAAUAUAACAUAGAGAUAAGAAUAACAACCAAUCAACAAAGCACUCAGACAAAAAAAA
rnacentral:lncRNA from 1 species